UGAUGCAGCACGCCGCGUGAGUGAAGAAGUAUUUCGGUAUGUAAAGCUCUAUCAGCAGGGAAGAUAAUGACGGUACCUGACUAAGAAGCUCCGGCUAAAUACGUGCCAGCAGCCGCGGUAAUACGUAUGGAGCAAGCGUUAUCCGGAUUUACUGGGUGUAAAGCGUGCGUAGGCGGUUGUCUCAGUCAGAUGUGAAAGCCCCGGGCUUAACCUGGGAACGGCAUUUGAUACUGGAUAACUAGAGUUGAGUAGAGGGGAGUGGAAUUUCCGGUGUAGCGGUGAAAUGCGUAGAGAUCGGAAGGAACACCAGUGGCGAAGGCGACUCCCUGGACUCAAACUGACGCUGAGGUACGAAAGCGUGGGUAGCAAACAGGAUUAGAUACCCUGGUAGUCCACGCCGUAAACGAUGUCAACUAGCCGUUGGGUUUAUUAUAAACUUAGUGGUGCAGCUAACGCAUUAAGUUGACCGCCUGGGGAGUACGGCCGCAAGGUUAAAACUCAAAUGAAUUGACGGGGGCCCGCACAAGCGGUGGAGCAUGUGGUUUAAUUCGAUGCAACGCGAAGAACCUUACCUACCCUUGACAUCCUCAGAACUUGUUAGAGAUAACUUGGUGCCUUCGGGAACUGAGUGACAGGUGCUGCAUGGCUGUCGUCAGCUCGUGUCGUGAGAUGUUGGGUUAAGUCCCGUAACGAGCGCAACCCUUAUCCUUAGUUGCCAGCACAUGAUGGUGGGAACUCUAAGGAGACUGCCGGUGAUAAACCGGAGGAAGGUGGGGACGACGUCAAGUCAUCAUGGCCCUUAUGGGUAGGGCUACACACGUGCUACAAUGGGCGGUACAGAGGGCAGCGAACUUGCGAGAGUAAGCAAAUCCCAGAAAGCCGUUCCUAGUCCGGAUUGGAGUCUGCAACUCGACUCCAUGAAGUCGGAAUCGCUAGUAA
rnacentral:rRNA from 1 species